UACAGAGGUCUCAAGCGUUGUUCGGAUUUAUUGGGCGUAAAGGGCGCGUAGGCGGGCGGGGUAAGUCGGGUGUGAAAUCUCAGGGCUCAACCCUGAAACUGCACUUGAUACUGCUCUGCUUGAGGACUGGAGAGGAGACUGGAAUUCACGGUGUAGCAGUGAAAUGCGUAGAUAUCGUGAGGAAGACCAGUGGCGAAGGCGGGUCUCUGGACAGUUCUGACGCUGAC
rnacentral:rRNA from 1 species